rnacentral:rRNA from 1 species
CGGCGGCACUAGCGCGGUGGUCCCACCUGACCCCAUGCCGAACUCAGAAGUGAAACGCCGUAGCGCCGAUGGUAGUGUGGGGUCUCCCCAUGUGAGUAGGGAACUGCCGGCAUC